AUUUGUUUACACCGAGGGAACUGACCACGUGGGUUUGUUUACGUUUGUUUACUUCGAGGCAACCAAUCACGUGACUUUAUUUGCUUUUGUUUACACCCGAGCACGUGGGAUUUUGUUUACAUCGAGGGAACUGACCACGUGGCUUUGUUUACGUUUGUUUACAUCGAGGCAACCAAUCACGUGACUUUAUUUGCUUUUGUUUACACCCGAGCACGUGGGAUUUUGUUUACACCGAGGGAACUGACCACGUGGGUUUGUUUACGUUUGUUUACAUCGAGGCAACCAAUCACGUGACUUUAUUUUCGCUUGUUUGUAUCGAAGCAACCGAGCACGUGGCUUUGUUUACAUCGAAGCAGCAACCAAUCACGUGUGUUUGUCUGUGCUUCCUUAUACACAACCGAAUUUGUGGGUCUGUUUACACUAAAGUUACUGAUCAUUUGGGUUGUUGCAUCGAGGUAACUGGUUGACCAUUGUAACCGAAUUCGUGAGGUUGGCUCCUGGAAAGUACAGAAAACUAACCAAGUGAAAGAUGACCCACUAAAUUACAUGACUAUCCUUUUGUUGCAUUGAGGUAACUGGUUGACCAAAGUAACCAAAUUCGUGAGGUUGGUUGCUGGAAAGUACAGAAAACCAAUGAAGUGAGAGAUGCCCCACUAAAUUACACGACUAUCCUUCUAGUGCAUCGAGUUUUAGGUCAAGUUAGGUUAGGGUAGGUUAGGUUAGGUUGACCAAAGUAACCAAAUUCGUGAGGUUGGUUGCUGGAAAGUACAGAAAACCGAUGAAGUGAGAGAUGCCCCACUAAAUCACUCGAACUUUCUCCUUUUUUUCCUCUCAAAACUCCCGUGGACGUGAAAUUCGAUUAAAAUGAAAAUCGGAAAGUAAUGUUGAUGGGCCCUUCUCCCCUGCGAGCAACGGCGACCACGAGGCAAGAACUGAGAUCGCUGACUUAGAAAGGGGUGCUUCUGGAAACAACUUAAAUGCUAACGAGGUGCAAAGGUGAUGAUAAUGGUGCCACUGUACACAUGCAGGUAAAGGUGUGGGUCUGAACCUGUCCACACUUUCCCUCCUACCCUUCUCUCCCUCUCUCUCUCUCCCACACUUCCGUCAUCUCUUUCUCUCUCUCUCCUAAUCUCUUCUCCUUUCUCUUUCUAUUCUAAGCUUAUAUUCUCUUUCUCCUCUUCCUCCUAACUCAUUAUCUUCAUCCUAAUUUUAACUCUACAAGAUACGGUAACUCCCCUCCUUCUGCUCCUCGUCCUUAUCAUAACUAUACCGCCACCUUUUGUCUCCUUUCUCACUAAGUACUUUGUUAUAGCUAUCGUCAUGGUUCUGCUCUCUCUGCGGUCUCUCUCUCUCUCUCUCUCUCUCUCUCUCUCUCUCUCUCUCUCUCUCUCAGAUUCACAGUUACAUUCAUUCCAUCACGUCAGUCACUCCGGGUAAAGCUAAUCCAAUUAUAUUCCACGUUUUUUUCUCUAUCUAAGGUAUUGGUAAAGUCAUCCACCUGGCUUGCGUUCCUCCGCCUCCUCCUCUUCCACCUUCUCCCUCCCACCUGUGCUUCCACUAAUUUACUCCACCUGCUCGUCACUUUCAUUCAUUAACACCUGGGGUCAUCUACUUCACAGGUGGACUCCACAUCUAGAUCCACUGCCACUUCAUGCGUGUUUGCUGGUGUGUAUGUGUAAGUGUGUGUGUGUGUGUGUGUGUGUGUGUGUGUGUGUGUGUGUGUGUGUGUGUGUGUGUCACGCUUCUCCAGUCACUCCCUCCUACUAUUAUAACUGUACACACACACACACACACACACACACACACACACACACACACACAUACACACA